GAUGAACGCUGGCGGCGUGCCUAACACAUGCAAGUCGAACGGACUUAGAUGAAACCUAGUGAUUCUAAGUUAGUGGCGGACGGGUGAGUAACGCGUGGGUAAACCUGCCCUAUACCGGGGGAUAACACUUAGAAAUAGGUGCUAAUACCGCAUAAGCGCACAGCUUUGCAUGAAGCAGUGUGAAAAACUCCGGUGGUAUAGGAUGGACCCGNGUCUGAUUAGCUAGUUGGUGAGGUAACGGCCCACCAAGGCGACGAUCAGUAGCCGGCCUGAGAGGGUGACCGGCCACAUUGGGACUGAGACACGGCCCAAAACUCCCUAACGGGAGGCAGCAGUGGGGAAUAUUGGGCAAUGGGCGCAAGCCUGACCCAGCAACGCCGCGUGAA
rnacentral:rRNA from 1 species